rnacentral:rRNA from 1 species
GACGAAGGGGGCUAGCGUUGUUCGGAAUUACUGGGCGUAAAGCGCGUGUAGGCGGUUGCCCAAGUCGGGUGUGAAAGCCUUGAGUUCAACUCAAGAAAUGCACUCGGUACUGGGUGACUAGAGGACCGGAGAGGAUCGCGGAAUUCCCGGUGUAGAGGUGAAAUUCGUAGAUAUCGGGAGGAACACCAGUGGCGAAGGCGGCGAUCUGGACGGAUAUUGACGCUGAUGUACGAAAGCGUGGGGAGCAAACAGG